UACAGAGGGGGCGAGCGUUGUUCGGAAUUACUGGGCGUAAAGGGCGCGUAGGCGGCCUUCUAAAUCGAACGUGAAAUCCCCGGGCUCAACCCGGGAACUGCGUCCGAUACUGGGAGGCUUGAAUCCGGGAGAGGGAUGUGGAAUUCCAGGUGUAGCGGUGAAAUGCGUAGAUAUCUGGAGGAACACCGGUGGCGAAGGCGGCAUCCUGGACCGGUAUUGACGCUGAGGCGCGAAAGCCAGGGGAGCAAACGGG
rnacentral:rRNA from 1 species